rnacentral:rRNA from 1 species
AUGCUUUUCCAUUUCAUUUGUCUGAUCGGCAAUGAGUCGUACGGCCUUGGAAGAGUGGCACAGGUGCUGAGGAGGCUCAACGGUCGUAGCGAGACGGCCUUGCACGGGGCGAUAUGGCAGGGAGACCUGUACAUGGCUGAGUUCCUGAUGCUGGUGGAUCCUGAGCUGGCCCAGUAUCCUCCACCUGGUCAGGGCACCUCACCGCUAUACCUAGCUGUCUCCUUGGGAUUCACAGACAUCCCACGGAUGUUGUACAGAAGAAGUGGCGGUAACCUGUCCUACUCCGGUCCAGAUGGACAGAACGCACUGCAUGCCGCGGCUCUCCAUGCCUACGAUAUGAUACAAACGCUGCUGAAUUGGGAUGAGGAACUUAGCAAAGGGAAUGACGGAAACGACAGCACCCCUCUUCACUAUGUGGUUUUGGCGCAGCGUGACCCAUUACUAUUUCGUAUAUAUGGCUUUCGUUUCCCCAACUUCUGGUUUCCGUGGGAAAAACAUGCAACAGGGCAAGUACUUCGGGCUAACACAUCUGCAGCGUGCCAGCCGGAUAAAAAUGGUUUGUUUCCUGUACACAUCGCUGCCUUGAUGAACAGGAAGACCGCCAUCCGUAUUCUGCUCAAAGAAUGCCCUCGUUGCAUCGGAUCUCGUGAUAACCAGGGAAGAUCCUUCCUUCAUACUGCUAUCCAGAACAAGAGUUCCCUUGUAGUGGGAUAUGCUUGCGGAGAAUCAAGUUUUGCAUCCAUAAUGAACGCUCAGGACAACGAUGGCAACACCGCGCUACACCUAGCUGUCGAUGUUGGGGAUCUAUCCGGCUUUUUUACUCUGCUGAGGAACCCAAAAGUAUUAUUAGAUAUCAGAAAUAACAAGGAUCAAACUCCUCUGGAUCUAGCAUGGAGUAAGAAGAACCGAACAGUUUUUUCGUACGGACGGAAUCCGGAUCGAGUGAUUUACUGGACCCUCCGACGUGCCGGUGCUAGGCCAAUGGAAAGUCAAGAGGACAAAGAGAUAAAGGAGGAAAAAGAGAAAGAAGAGUCGGCUAAAAUGACAGAUUCGACUCGGACAUUAGGCAUUGGCUCCGUACUCAUAGCUUCAGUGACAUUCACUGCAACUUUCACCGUACCUGCAGGAAUCAAAGCCAGUGACCAUACCACCAAUGGCACACCAGGAAUUCUUGGUACGUGGUAUUUCAAUGCGUUCAUGAUGGCCAAUACGCUGGCUUUCAUCUGCUCAUCCAUAGCGACUGUUGGCCUCAUGUUCGCCGGCAUGCCCCUGGUCAAAUUACCAAUCCGCCGCAGGCACUUUCUGGUAUCGGUCUUCUUCGCCUCGACUUCACUCACUUGUUUGAAUGUUGCCUUUGCACUAGGAGUAUAUAUGGUGCUGGCUCCAGUUGGUCUUAAGACUGCAAUUGCCAUAUGUGUCAUCACCCCACUUGUGCUGCUCUACAGGAAUGCAGAUAAUGUUCAUAAAAUGGUUAUUACUUCAUGGCUGAUAUAUGUCAGACGGGGGUUUAUCUUUGCAUGUUGUUCAUUAUACGCAGUAGUUAUCAACGGAUAA